rnacentral:rRNA from 1 species
UGAGGAAUAUUGGUCAAUGGGCGAGAGCCUGAACCAGCCAAGUCGCGUGAGGGAAGACGGUCCUAUGGAUUGUAAACCUCUUUGUCGGGAGCAAGGCCACUCACGAGUGAGUGGAAGGAGAGUACCCGAAGAAAAGCAUCGGCUAACUCCGUGCCAGCAGCCGCGGUAAUACGGAGGAUGCGAGCGUUAUCCGGAUUUAUUGGGUUUAAAGGGUGCGUAGGCGGACUGUUAAGUCAGCGGUCAAAUGUCGGUGCUCAACGCCGGCCUGCCGUUGAAACUGGCGGUCUUGAGUGAGCGAGAAGUAUGCGGAAUGCGUGGUGUAGCGGUGAAAUGCAUAGAUAUCACGCAGAACUCCGAUUGCGAAGGCAGCAUACCGGCGCUCAACUGACGCUGAGGCACGAAAGCGUGGGGAUCGAACAGGAUUAGAUACC